AUUGAACGCUAGCGGCAUGCCUUACACAUGCAAGUCGAACGGCAGGCACGGGGGCAACCCUGGUGGCGAGUGGCGAACGGGUGAGUAAUGCAUCGGAACGUGCCCAUCGAUGGGGGAUAACUGCGCGAAAGCGUUGCUAAUACCGCAUACGACCUACGGGUGAAAGCAGGGGACCGCAAGGCCUUGCGUCGAUGGAGCGGCCGAUGCCGGAUUAGCUAGUUGGUGAGGUAAAGGCUCACCAAGGCGACGAUCCCGUAGCUGGUCUGAGAGGACGACCCAGCCACACUGGGACUGAGACACGGCCCAGACUCCUACGGGAGGCAGCAGUGGGGAAUCUUGGACAAUGGGCGAAAGCCUGAUCCAGCAAUGCCGCGUGUGGGAAGAAGGCCUUCGGGUUGUAAACCACUUUUGGCGGGAAAGAAAUGGUCUGUGCUAAUACCACGGAUUGAUGACGGUACCCGCAGAAUAAGCACCGGCUAACUACGUG
rnacentral:rRNA from 1 species